rfam:Fusarium graminearum chromosome 3, complete genome
GCGUAAUUGGUUUAGUGGUAAAAUUCUCCGUUGCCAGUCACAUGACCAGCCUCGGGGAGCCCUGGGUUCGAUUCCCAGAUUACGCA